rnacentral:piRNA from 1 species
UGGUGUCUAUAGGGAGGAGAAAC